UUUGAUAAAAAUCUAAUAUAUGUGUUUUCAUUGUAAUCCAUUGACAAUGACACAACUAGAUGAUGCAUAUCAGUAUCACACAUGAUUCGUCUGAGACUUCUAAGAAGAGAGAGGGUAUGAUUAACAAUUUUACAAUUGCAGUUCGCUUAUAGUAUAAAAAAAAGUAGACUAAGUCAAAGCUCAUCACAAAUUUCCUAUUCUGUAACGAGAGUUGUCCAAAUUAAAAUGAGGACAAGCUGAAAGAGCAUACAGAUUCAAAGUUAGCGGCUUUGAAUAUAAACAAAAGAUAUGUCUAGGCCCCAUCCGGCUGCAGGAAAGGGUUGGCAAUUUCAUCUGUACCAUCAGUUGGUGAGACAAGCAUCACAGCAGUUCCCCUGCAUACUAUUAGGCCAAGACGCCUGGUCUGAUCAGUAGUCUUCAGAGGAUCAUCAGGAUCUCUCAGGUAUUCUAUAGCUUCAUCCAGGACAAGAUUUAACAAUUGAUCAUACCCUUUCAGAGUCCCUGUCACUUGUCUACCACCCGUGAGCUUGACUUGGACACCCUUGUCCACAAAUUUUGCCAAAUCCAACACCGUUUCUUUCCUCCCUGACAUCUUCACACGAAUAUCUGAGAACCUUUCGUUUUAGCAGAGCAGUGCAGUGUGCCCUAGAUUGUCCUCUCCUUCCUCCUUCCAGCGUCUGCUUUGCUUUUUCCCGCUUGCGCUCAAC
rnacentral:misc_RNA from 1 species